rnacentral:ncRNA from 1 species
CCAGUGUAUCAAGAGUGAGAUUAAAUUCUCCUCCAACCUGCCCACUCCGGUAAGGUGGAAAAACGAUACGGCAAUCUGCAAUACAAGGAGGAAAC